CCCAAAUAUCGCUUCUCCUUCCUUCUCUAUAAAAGCCAACCCUCUCACCACUCUGAAUCGAUCAUAUGUGCACCACCGAAGACGAUAAGAUGAGGACAGUCGUCAAGAGUCGUGCUUCUCUCCUCCUCACACUCGUCAUCGUCUUCUUCCUCGUCACAGCGAGAGGGGAGACGACCCCUGUGAAGGAAGCGAAAGCGGAGAUUACAUACCGUGCCCUGCGUCCUAGCAGUCAGCCCGCGCGCCCCGGAGCACCCUAUACAAGGGGAUGCAGGAACAAUGUUUACUGCCGUCCGCCUUCGACCCCAUGAUAGGCUACUUCGGCAGCAUGGAGGAGUAGUUCCUUUGACGACGCAAAAUAUAUACAGGAGGCAGAUACGUACAAUAUAUAUAUAUAUAUAUAUAUAUAUAUAUAUAUAUAUAUAUAUAUAUAUAUAUAUAUAUCUCUUCUCUCCUAAACUUUUUCCAUGGUUGAAAUUGUUGUUACCUUAAAAUCCCUUAGCAAUGGUAAAAGCUCUAGACCUGAUGGAUAUACUGUUGAAUUUAUAAAUUAUAUUGGAUUA